UCCUGGCUCAGGACGAACGCUGGCGGCGUGCCUAAUACAUGCAAGUCGUACGCUUCUUUUUCCACCGGAGCUUGCUCCACCGGAAAAAGAAGAGUGGCGAACGGGUGAGUAACACGUGGGUAACCUGCCCAUCAGAAGGGGAUAACACUUGGAAACAGGUGCUAAUACCGUAUAACAAUCGAAACCGCAUGGUUUUGAUUUGAAAGGCGCUUUCGGGUGUCGCUGAUGGAUGGACCCGCGGUGCAUUAGCUAGUUGGUGAGGUAACGGCUCACCAAGGCCACGAUGCAUAGCCGACCUGAGAGGGUGAUCGGCCACAUUGGGACUGAGACACGGCCCAAACUCCUACGGGAGGCAGCAGUAGGGAAUCUUCGGCAAUGGACGAAAGUCUGACCGAGCAACGCCGCGUGAGUGAAGAAGGUUUUCGGAUCGUAAAACUCUGUUGUUAGAGAAGAACAAGGAUGAGAGUAACUGUUCAUCCCUUGACGGUAUCUAACCAGAAAGCCACGGCUAACUACGUGCCAGCAGCCGCGGUAAUACGUAGGUGGCAAGCGUUGUCCGGAUUUAUUGGGCGUAAAGCGAGCGCAGGCGGUUUCUUAAGUCUGAUGUGAAAGCCCCCGGCUCAACCGGGGAGGGUCAUUGGAAACUGGGAGACUUGAGUGCAGAAGAGGAGAGUGGAAUUCCAUGUGUAGCGGUGAAAUGCGUAGAUAUAUGGAGGAACACCAGUGGCGAAGGCGGCUCUCUGGUCUGUAACUGACGCUGAGGCUCGAAAGCGUGGGGAGCAAACAGGAUUAGAUACCCUGGUAGUCCACGCCGUAAACGAUGAGUGCUAAGUGUUGGAGGGUUUCCGCCCUUCAGUGCUGCAGCUAACGCAUUAAGCACUCCGCCUGGGGAGUACGACCGCAAGGUUGAAACUCAAAGGAAUUGACGGGGGCCCGCACAAGCGGUGGAGCAUGUGGUUUAAUUCGAAGCAACGCGAAGAACCUUACCAGGUCUUGACAUCCUUUGACCACUCUAGAGAUAGAGCUUCCCCUUCGGGGGCAAAGUGACAGGUGGUGCAUGGUUGUCGUCAGCUCGUGUCGUGAGAUGUUGGGUUAAGUCCCGCAACGAGCGCAACCCUUAUUGUUAGUUGCCAUCAUUUAGUUGGGCACUCUAGCAAGACUGCCGGUGACAAACCGGAGGAAGGUGGGGAUGACGUCAAAUCAUCAUGCCCCUUAUGACCUGGGCUACACACGUGCUACAAUGGGAAGUACAACGAGUCGCGAAGUCGCGAGGCUAAGCUAAUCUCUUAAAGCUUCUCUCAGUUCGGAUUGUAGGCUGCAACUCGCCUACAUGAAGCCGGAAUCGCUAGUAAUCGCGGAUCAGCACGCCGCGG
rnacentral:rRNA from 1 species